rnacentral:rRNA from 1 species
GACGAACGCUGGCGGCGUGCUUAACACAUGCAAGUCGAGCGGAAAGGCCCUUUGGGGUACUCGAGCGGCGAACGGGUGAGUAACACGUGAGUAACCUGCCUCUGGCUUUGGGAUAACCCUCGGAAACGGGGGCUAAUACCGGAUAUUCACAGCGUCUCGCAUGGGGUGUUGUGGAAAGUUUUUCGGCUGGGGAUGGGCUCGCGGCCUAUCAGCUUGUUGGUGGGGUAAUGGCCUACCAAGGCGACGACGGGUAGCCGGCCUGAGAGGGCGACCGGCCACACUGGGACUGAGACACGGCCCAGACUCCUACGGGAGGCAGCAGUGGGGAAUAUUGCACAAUGGGCGCAAGCCUGAUGCAGCGACGCCGCGUGAGGGACGACGGCCUUCGGGUUGUAAACCUCUUUCAGCAGGGACGAAGCGUAAGUGACGGUACCUGCAGAAGAAGCGCCGGCCAACUACGUGCCAGCAGCCGCC